ensembl:lncRNA
UAUUAACACUACUAUGCUGAUUACGAUAACCUGGGAUUGUGUAUAGAACAAUAUUACUAACCAUCAGUACAUUUUUACAUGGUCGAUUGUUAGUUGUUCCAUUCCUAAUUGUGACACUAAUGCUUUAUGACUAGUAUUUUGAUGCUUCAUCAGUUUUGGCCAAGCAAAAUUUGGCCUGUGCAAAAUCUACAUCAUUUCCCAGUAAACUUAUUACCCAAGGUAUUGUUGACUUCAUCCAGUUCAGCAGCAUUGCCAUGUGUAUAGUUAGUAUAAUAGAACUGGCUGUCAUUGUCCCCUCUGUGCUCAUGGUGUUUGAUUGGUAGGCAGAAAGCCUCUUUAAGCCCAUACAUUUAUACUGUGCAAUAUUUUUUAGAUGACCAGGGGAAUGAUGCCUGUGUGACUUCUGGUUCACCUCCUGUCCCUGACUCAGUUACUAAAGGUUUACGUGUUUCAUCAAGGCGGUGUGUGAAGAGACCAUGGUCUGAGGAGGAGAUAGGAGCGGUGAUGAAACAUAUGAAGCCUUUUAUUGAAAACGGUAUCACUGUCACCAACCAGCAGUGUCUGAAGUGCAAAGAAAAGGAACAACCUAUCUUGGAGACGAGAUCUAUUCAAAACAUUUGAGAUUUUGUGCGCAACAGAGGACUGGCCUUUAAAAAAAAAAAAAAAAAAAUGUUAAACACUAAAUGCACUUUUUGACAGUCUGAGCCUUUACCUUUCUGGGCCUGAUUUCAAGGUUAGUGUUCUCCAUUCAAAAAGUAUGUAGUUGACUUCACUGUGCUCACAGGCAGUGUUUUGUUUUGAUGUGUGGUUAGCCUGAGUCUUUUAAUGCCAGGAUUCACUUUUAUUUUCCUUCAAUAAUUGUUACAAUGCUGUCCUUUUAAGGAAUUGAUUAUUGAGUUGGUUAUAUUAAAUAUAAUUCAGUAAUUCAACAAA